GUUGCCUUCGGGUGGCGAGUAGAGCGGCGAACGGGUGAGUAACGCGUGGAUAACCUGCCUAUAGGUUUGGAAUAACCCCCCGAAAGGGGAGCUAAUGCCGAAUGAGACCACAGGGUUUAGGUUCAGUGAUUAAAGGUGGGGAUCCUUCGGGAGCCUAUCGCCUGUAGAGGGGUCCGCGUCCCAUCAGCUAGUUGGUAGGGUAAUAGCCUACCAAGGCUAAGACGGGUAGCUGGUCUGAGAGGACGAUCAGUCACACUGGCACUGAAACACGGGCCAGACUCCUACGGGAGGCAGCAGUGGGGAAUUUUGCGCAAUGGGCGAAAGCCUGACGCAGCGACGCCGCGUGAGGGAAGAAGGCUCUCGGGUCGUAAACCUCUGUCAGGAGGGAAGAAAUGUCUAGUGGUUAAUACCCAUUAGGUUUGACGGUACCUCCAGAGGAAGCAUCGGCUAACUACGUGCCAGCAGCCGCGGUAAUACGUAGGAUGCAAGCGUUGCUCGAAAUCACUGGGUGUAAAGCGCGCGUAGGUGGUUUGACAAGUCAGAGGUGAAAGCCCUUGGCUCAACCAAGGAACUGCCUCUGA
rnacentral:rRNA from 1 species